rnacentral:rRNA from 1 species
CGGACGGGUGAGUAACGCGUGGGUAACCUGCCUCAUACAGGGGGAUAACAGUUAGAAAUGGCUGCUAAUACCGCAUAAGACCACAGUACUGCAUGGUACAGUGGUAAAAACUCCGGUGGUAUGAGAUGGACCCGCGUCUGAUUAGGUAGUUGGUGAGGUAACGGCUCACCAAGCCGACGAUCAGUAGCCGACCUGAGAGGGUGACCGGCCACAUUGGGACUGAGACACGGCCCAG